rnacentral:piRNA from 1 species
GCCAUUGCCCUUCUGGCUGCCUCU